AUUGAACGCUGGCGGCAGGCCUAACACAUGCAAGUCGAGCGGGGUUUUCGGACCUAGCGGCGGACGGGUGAGUAAUGCGUAGGAAGCUGCCCGAUAGAGGGGGAUACCAGUUGGAAACGACUGUUAAUACCGCAUAAUGUCUACGGACCAAAGUGUGGGACCUUCGGGCCACAUGCUAUCGGAUGCGCCUACGUGGGAUUAGCUAGUUGGUGAGGUAAUGGCUCACCAAGGCGACGAUCUCUAGCUGGUUUGAGAGGAUGAUCAGCCACACUGGAACUGAGACACGGUCCAGACUCCUACGGGAGGCAGCAGUGGGGAAUUUUGGACAAUGGGCGCAAGCCUGAUCCAGCCAUGCCGCGUGUCUGAAGAAGGCCUUCGGGUUGUAAAGGACUUUUGUCCGGGAGCAAAUGCCUGGUGUUAAUAGCACUGGGAGCUGAGAGUACCGGAAGAAUAAGCACCGGCUAACUACGUGCCAGCCGCCGCAGUAAAAC
rnacentral:rRNA from 1 species